CGCAUGCCCGAAGGGUGAGGAUGCGACGCCGCGUGGGGGAUGAAGGUCUUCGGAUCGUAAACUCCUUUUGUCGAGGAAGAAAUCCCAAUGAUGAAUAAUCAUUGGAGUUGACGUUACUUGACGAAUAAGCCACGGCUAACUCCGUGCCGGCAGCCGCGGUAAGACGGAGGUGGCGAGCGUUACUCGGUAUUACUGGGUGUAAAGGGUCCGCAGGCGGCCAUAUAAGUAAGAGGUGAAAUCCUUCCGCUUAACGGAAGAACUACCCCUUAUACUGUAUGGCUAGAGGACAAGAGAGGAAAGCGGAACUGCCGGAGUAAGGGUGAAAUCUGUGGAUAUCGGCAGGAACGCCAGUGACGAAGGUGGCUUUCUAGCUUGUAUCUGACGCUCAGGGACGAAAGCUAGGGGAGCAAACAGGAUUAGAUACCCUGGUAGUCCUAGCUGUAAGCGAUGGGCACUAAGUAGAGGGG
rnacentral:rRNA from 1 species